rnacentral:misc_RNA from 1 species
AAGUCGUAACAAGGUUUCCGUAGGUGAACCUGCGGAAGGAUCAUUAAAAAAAUACGCCUGGUGAAGUGAUAACACGCUAAUCCAGGUUGUAUACAACCACCUGUUUACCUUUACCUGUUGCUUCCGUGGAAUACGGGUGCUCUUCCUGUUCGCAGGCUUGAGUUACCUUCCACGGGUGUAUUCAAAAACUCGUUUUGUAAUUUUGUCUGAUUUAAAAUUUUAAUAAAAGUUAAAACUUUCAACAACGGAUCUCUAGGUUCUC